rnacentral:rRNA from 1 species
UGGUGGAGUGAUUUGUCUGGUUAAUUCCGUUAACGAACGAGACCUCGACCUACUAAAUAGUUGACCAAACUCUUCGGGGUUGGGAUUGACUUCUUAGAGGGACUUUUGGUGAGUAGCCAAAGGAAGUUCGAGGCAAUAACA